AACGCACCUUGCGCUCCCUGGUAUUCCGGGGAGCAUGCCUGUUUGAGUGUCAUGAACUCUUCAACUCCCCAAUUUCUUGUAGAUUGUGUGGAAGUUUGGAUUUUGAAUGUUGCUGGCCCUUGUGGCGUAGCUCGUUCGUAAUACAUUAGCAUCUUUAAUUCGAACUCGGAUUGACUCAGUGUAAUAGACUAUUCGCUGAGGACACUUUGGUAGCAAUACUUUGGUGGCCGUGAUCAAUACAAGAGAAGCUUCUAAUCCCUCUAGUCAUCUUUGAUUUAGACCUCAAAUCAGGUAGGAUUACCCGCUGAACUUAA
rnacentral:misc_RNA from 1 species